AUUUCGUGAUUUGGGCAUUUUUGUAGUAAUUCUUUUAAUCUUUCCCAUGCCUCAUACAAAGAUUCGUCAUCCAUUUGCUGCAAGGUAGUGGUCUCAUUUCACAACUU
rfam:Gossypium arboreum cultivar AKA8401 contig_37579_5, whole genome shotgun sequence.